AACGAACGCUGGCGGCGUGCCUAACACAUGCAAGUCGUGCGAGAAAGUUCCUUCGGGAGCGAGUAAAGCGGCGCACGGGUGAGUAACACGUAGGUAACCUGCCCCCCAGUCUGGAACAACUAGAGGAAACUCUAGCUAAUGCCGGAUGAGACCACGAUCCCUUCGGGGGUUGCGGCCCAAAAGAUGGGCCUCUACUUGUAAGCUAUCGCUGAGGGAUGGGCCUGCGGGCCAUUAGCUUGUUGGUGAGGUAACGGCUCACCAAGGCUGUGAUGGCUAGCUGGUCUGAGAGGAUGACCAGCCACACUGGGACUGAGACACGGCCCAGGACUCCUACGGGAGGCAGCAGUGGGGAAUAUUGCGCAAUGGGCGAAAGCCUGACGCAGCGACGCCGCGUGGGUGAUGAAGGCCUGGUCGU
rnacentral:rRNA from 1 species